rnacentral:rRNA from 1 species
AUGAACGCUGGCGGCGUGCCUAAUACAUGCAAGUCGAGCGAACGGACGAGAAGCUUGCUUCUCUGAUGUUAGCGGCGGACGGGUGAGUAACACGUGGAUAACCUACCUAUAAGACUGGGAUAACUUCGGGAAACCGGAGCUAAUACCGGAUAAUAUUUUGAACCGCAUGGUUCAAAAGUGAAAGACGGUCUUGCUGUCACUUAUAGAUGGAUCCGCGCUGCAUUAGCUAGUUGGUAAGGUAACGGCUUACCAAGGCAACGAUGCAUAGCCGACCUGAGAGGGUGAUCGGCCACACUGGAACUGAGACACGGUCCAGACUCCUAAGGGAGGCAGCAGUGGGGAAUAUUGCACAAUGGGCGGAAGCCUGAUGCGGCAACGCCGCGUGCGGGAUGACGGCCUUCGGGUUGUAAACCGCUUUCGCCUGUGACGAAGCGUGAGUGACGGUAAUGGGUAAAGAAGCACCGGCUAACUACGUG